rnacentral:rRNA from 1 species
CCAAUAGCGUAUAUUAAAGUUGUUGCAGUUAAAAAGCUCGUAGUUGAAUUUCGGAAUCAAUAUGCCGGUCAUGCCUUGGUAUGCACUGGUAUCUUUGAUUUCUCCCUUCUGACGAACUUUGAUGUCAUUAAUUUGGUGUCAUAGGGAAUCAGGACUGUUACUUUGAAAAAAUUAGAGUGUUUAAAGCAAGCUCACGCUUG